AAACUUUCAACAACGGAUCUCUUGGUUCUGGCAUCGAUGAAGAACGCAGCGAAAUGCGAUAAGUAAUGUGAAUUGCAGAAUUCAGUGAAUCAUCGAAUCUUUGAACGCACAUUGCGCCCUUUGGUACUCCAAGGGGCAUGCCUGUUCGAGCGUCAUUA
rnacentral:rRNA from 2 species